AUACGUAGGGUGCGAGCGUUAAUCGGAAUUACUGGGCGUAAAGCGUGCGCAGGCGGUUUGGCAAGUCAGAUGUGAAAUCCCCGAGCUCAACUUGGGAACUGCGUUUGAAACUGCCAGACUAGAAUAUGUCAGAGGGGGGUAGAAUUCCACGUGUAGCAGUGAAAUGCGUAGAGAUGUGGAGGAAUACCAAUGGCGAAGGCAGCCCCCUGGGAUAAUAUUGACGCUCAUGCACGAAAGAGUGGGGAGCAAACAGGAUUAGAUACCCUGGUAGUCCACGCCCUAAACGAUGUCUACUAGUUGUUGGUGGAGUAAAAUCCAUGAGUAACGCAGCUAACGCGUGAAGUAGACCGCCUGGGGAGUACGGUCGCAAGAUUAAA
rnacentral:rRNA from 1 species